AUUGAACGCUGGCGGCAUGCCUUACACAUGCAAGUCGAACGGCAGCACGGGUGCUUGCACCUGGUGGCGAGUGGCGAACGGGUGAGUAAUAUAUCGGAACGUACCUUAUUGUGGGGGAUAACGCAGCGAAAGCUGUGCUAAUACCGCAUCAUCCCUUAGGGGGAAAGCGGGGGACCGUAAGGCCUCGCGCAAUUAGAGCGGCCGAUACCUGAUUAGCUAGUUGGUGAGGUAAAGGCUCACCAAGGCGACGAUCAGUAGCUGGUCUGAGAGGACGAUCAGCCACACUGGGACUGAGACACGGCCCAGACUCCUACGGGAGGCAGCAGUGGGGAAUUUUGGACAAUGGGGGCAACCCUGAUCCAGCAAUGCCGCGUGAGUGAAGAAGGCCUUCGGGUUGUAAAGCUCUUUUGUCAGGGGAGAAACAGCAGCUCUAACACAGUAUGCGAAUGACGGUACCUGAAGAAUAAGCACCGGCUAACUACGUGCCAGCAGCCGCUGUAA
rnacentral:rRNA from 1 species